UACGUAGGGAGCAAGCGUUGUCCGGAAUCAUUGGGCGUAAAGCGCGCGUAGGUGGCCCCAUAAGUCCGCUGUGAAAGUCAAAGGCUCAACCUUUGAAAGCCGGUGGAUACUGUGGGACUAGAGUACGGAAGAGGCGAGGGGAAUUCCUGGUGUAGCGGUGGAAUGCGCAGAUGUCAGGAGGAACACCAAUAGCGAAGGCAGCUCGCUGGGACGUUACUGACACUGAGGCGCGAAAGCGUGGGGAGCGAACAGG
rnacentral:rRNA from 1 species